UACGUAGGGUGCAAGCGUUGUCCGGAAUUAUUGGGCGUAAAGAGCUCGUAGGCGGUCUGUCGCGUCGGAUGUGAAAAUCCAGGGCUCAACCCUGGACCUGCAUUCGAUACGGGCAGACUAGAGUUCGGCAGGGGAGACUGGAAUUCCUGGUGUAGCGGUGAAAUGCGCAGAUAUCAGGAGGAGCACCGGUGGCGAAGGCGGGUCUCUGGGCCGAUACUGACGCUGAGGAGCGAAAGCGUGGGGAGCGAACAGG
rnacentral:rRNA from 1 species